UACCAUGGCCAUGCUGUUGGAUCUACC
rnacentral:sRNA from 1 species